UACGGAGGGUGCAAGCGUUGUUCGGAAUCACUGGGCGUAAAGCGCGUGUAGGCGGUUUUUUAAGUCUGGUGUGAAAGCCCGGGGCUCACCCCCGGAAGUGCACUGGAGACUGGAAAGCUAGAGUACCGGAGAGGAGGGUGGAAUUCCUGGUGUAGCGGUGAAAUGCGUAGAUAUCAGGAGGAACACCGGUGGCGAAGGCGGCCCUCUGGACGGCUACUGACGCUGAGACGCGAAAGCGUGGGGAGCAAACAGG
rnacentral:rRNA from 1 species